rnacentral:rRNA from 1 species
CCGACUGCUAUUUGGGUGAGAAUAAGCCAUGCGAGUUGAAUGGGAUACCUAAAUUUCCCAUAGCAAACUGCUCAGUAACACAUGAUCAACUUACCCUAUAGAGAAAAAUAACCUCGGGAAACUGAGGAUAAUGUUUCAUAAUUGAAUUGGCUUGGAAAAGUUUUUCAAUGAAAAGGAUAAAAAAAAUGGUUUUUAUCUGCUAUAGGAUAGGAUCGUGUUCGAUUAUGGUUGUUGGUGAGAUAAUGGCUCACCAAGCCGAUAAUCGAUAGGGGCCGUGAGAGCGGGAGCCCCGAGAUGGGUACUGAGACAACGACCCAGGCCUUACGAGGCGCAGCAGGCGCGGAACCUCCGCAAUACACGAAAGUGUGACGGGGUUACCCAAAGUGUUCAAUAGAACUGUGGUAGGUGAGUAAUGUCCCCUACUAGAAAGGAGAGGGCAAGGCUGGUGCCAGCCGCCGCGGUAAAACCAGCUCUUCAAGUGUCGGGAUAAUUAUUGGGCUUAAAGUGUCCGUAGCCGGUUUAGUAAGUUCCUGGUAAAAUCGGGUAGCUUAACUAUCUGCAUGCUAGGAAUACUGCUAUACUAGAGGGCGGGAGAGGUCUGAGGUACUACAGGGGUAGGGGUGAAAUCUUAUAAUCCUUGUAGGACCACCAGUGGCGAAGGCGUCAGACUGGAACGCGCCUGACGGUGAGGGACGAAAGCCAGGGGAGCGAACCGGAUUAGAUACCCGGGUAGUCCUGGCCGUAAACGAUGCAUACUAGGUGAUGGUACGGCCAUGAGCCGUAUCAGUGCCGUAGGGAAACCGUUAAGUGUGCCGCCUGGGAAGUACGGUCGCAAGGCUAAAACUUAAAGGAAUUGGCG